CCAGACUCCUACGGGAGGCAGCAGUGGGGAAUAUUGCACAAUGGGGGGAACCCUGAUGCAGCGACGCCGCGUGAGUGAAGAAGUAUUUCGGUAUGUAAAGCUCUAUCAGCAGGGAAGAAAAAAUGACGGUACCUGACUAAGAAGCACCGGCUAAAUACGUGCCAGCAGCCGCGGUAAUACGUAUGGUGCAAGCGUUAUCCGGAUUUACUGGGUGUAAAGGGAGCGCAGGCGGUACGGCAAGUCUGAUGUGAAAGCCCGGGGCUCAACCCCGGUACUGCAUUGGAAACUACCGGACUGGAGUGUCGGAGGGGUAAGUGGAAUUCCUAGUGUAGCGGUGAAAUGCGUAGAUAUUAGGAGGAACACCAGUGGCGAAGGCGGCUUACUGGACGAUCACUGACGCUGAGGCUCGAAAGCGUGGGGAGCAAACAGGAUUAGAUACCCUUGUAGGC
rnacentral:rRNA from 1 species